AUUGAACGCUGGCGGCAUGCCUUACACAUGCAAGUCGAACGGUAACAGGUCUUCGGAUGCUGACGAGUGGCGAACGGGUGAGUAAUACAUCGGAACGUGCCUAGUAGUGGGGGAUAACUACUCGAAAGAGUGGCUAAUACCGCAUGAGAUCUACGGAUGAAAGCAGGGGAUCGCAAGGCCUUGCGCUACUAGAGCGGCCGAUGGCAGAUUAGGUAGUUGGUGGGAUAAAAGCUCACCAAGCCGACGAUCUGUAGCUGGUCUUAGAGGACGAUCAGCCACACUGGGACUGAGACACGGCCCAGACUCCUACGGGAGGCAGCAGUGGGGAAUUUUGGACAAUGGGCGAAAGCCUGAUCCAGCAAUGCCGCGUGCAGGAUGAAGGCCUUCGGGUUGUAAACUGCUUUUGUACGGAACGAAAAGCCCCGGGUUAAUACCCUGGGGUCAUGACGGUACCGUAAGAAUAAGCACCGGCUAACUACGUGCCAGCCGCCGCAGUAA
rnacentral:rRNA from 1 species